rnacentral:rRNA from 1 species
UACGGAGGGUGCGAGCGUUGUCCGGAAUCAUUGGGCGUAAAGGGCGCGUAGGUGGCGCGGCAAGCGUGCGGUGAAAGCUCGGGGCUCAACCCCGAGUCGGCCGUGCGAACUGCUGGGCUUGAGCACUGUAGAGGCAGGCGGAAUUCCGGGUGUAGCGGUGGAAUGCGUAGAGAUCCGGAAGAACACCGGUGGCGAAGGCGGCCUGCUGGGACAGUGCUGACGCUGAGGCGCGACAGCGUGGGGAGCAAACAGG